rnacentral:misc_RNA from 1 species
GAUGAAGAACGCGGCGAAAUGCGAUAAGUAAUGUGAAUUGCAGAAUUCAGUGAAUCAUCGAAUCUUUGAACGCACCUUGCGCUCCUUGGUAUUCCGAGGAGCAUGCCUGUUUGAGUGUCAUGAAAACCCUCAACCUUAGAUUGGUUAAAACCUUUCUUUGGCUUGGAUUUGGACGUUUGCCGAUGAUAAGUCGGCUCGUCUUAAAAGUAAUAGCUGGAUCUGUCUCGCGACAUGGUUUGACUUGGCGUAAUAAGUAUUUCGCUAAGGACAUCUUCGGAUGGCCGCGUUACAAGACUAAAGACCGCUUUCUAAUCCAUUGAUCUUCGGAUUAAUAUUCUUGACAUCUGGCCUCAAAUCAGGUAGGACUACCCGCUGAACUUAAGCAUAUCAAUAAGCGGAGG